rnacentral:rRNA from 1 species
UACGUAGGGUGCAAGCGUUGUCCGGAAUUAUUGGGCGUAAAGAGCUCGUAGGCGGUUUGUCGCGUCUGCUGUGAAAACUCAGGGCUUAACCCUGAGCCUGCAGUGGGUACGGGCAGACUAGAGUGUGGUAGGGGAGAUCGGAAUUCCUGGUGUAGCGGUGGAAUGCGCAGAUAUCAGGAGGAACACCGGUGGCGAAGGCGGAUCUCUGGGCCAUAACUGACGCUGAGGAGCGAAAGCAUGGGGAGCAAACAGG